rnacentral:rRNA from 1 species
CAGUCGACGAGACUUUUUAUUUGAUGCUUGCAUCUUUUAAAAAGUUGAGUGGCGAACGGGUGAGUAACACGUGGGUAACCUGCCUUAAAGUGGGGGAUAACACUUGGAAACAGGUGCUAAUACCGCAUAACCAUCAAAACCACCUGGUUUUGAUGUUAAAGAUGGUUCUGCUAUCGCUUUAAGAUGGACCCGCGGCGUAUUAGCUAGUUGGUGAGGUAACGGCUUACCAAGGCAAUGAUACGUAGCCGAACUGAGAGGUUGAUCGGCCACAUUGGGACUGAGACACGGCCCAAACUCCUACGGGAGGCAGCAGUAGGGAAUCUUCCACAAUGGACGAAAGUCUGAUGGAGCAACGCCGCGUGAGUGAAGAAGGUUUUCGGAUCGUAAAACUCUGUUGUCAGAGAAGAACGUGUGUGAGAGUAACUGUUCACGCAGUGACGGUAUCUGACCAGAAAGUCACGGCUAACUACGUGCCAGCAGCCGCGGUAAUACGUAGGUGGCAAGCGUUGUCCGGAUUUAUUGGGCGUAAAGGGAACGCAGGCGGUCUUUUAAGUCUGAUGUGAAAGCCUUCGGCUUAACCGAAGUCGGGCAUUGGAAACUGGGAGACUUGAGUGCAGAAGAGGAGAGUGGAACUCCAUGUGUAGCGGUGAAAUGCGUAGAUAUAUGGAAGAACACCAGUGGCGAAAGCGGCUCUCUGGUCUGUAACUGACGCUGAGGUUCGAAAGCGUGGGUAGCAAACAGGAUUAGAUACCCUGGUAGUCCACGCCGUAAACGAUGAA